rnacentral:rRNA from 1 species
GAUGAACGCUAGCGGCAGGCCUAAUACAUGCAAGACGAACGGUAAGUUGAGUAGCAAUACUUAGCCAAGAGUGUCGUACGGGUGCGUAACACGUAUGCAACCUACCCUAUACAGGAGGAUAGCCUAGGGAAACCUGGAUUAACCCUUCAUAGUAUUAUUGGAUGGCAUCAUUUGAUAAUUAAAACUGAGGUGGUAUAGGAUGGGCAUGCGUCUGAUUAGUUAGUUGGCGGGGUAAUGGCCCACCAAGACGAUGAUCAGUAGGGGUUCUGAGAGGAAGAUCCCCCACACUGGCACUGAGAUACGGGCCAGACUCCUACGGGAGGCAGCAGUAGGGAAUAUUGGUCAAUGGAUGCAAGUCUGAACCAGCCAUGCCGCGUGCAGGAAGAAGGCCUUCUGGGUU